CGACCAGUGGCAUAGAAUGGAUGGUAAUGCACCGAGGUUAUGGGGAUGGGGAUGGGACGAGGUUAUGGGGAUGGGGAUGGGAUGAGGUUAUGGGAAUGGGGAUGGGAUGAGGUUAUGGGAAUGGGGAUGGGAUGAGUUAUGGGGAUGAGGAUGGGAUGAGGUUAUGGGGAUGGGGAUUCACUGAGGUUAUGGGGAUGGGAUGAGGUGAUGGGGAUGGGAUGAGGUUAUGGAAAUGGAAAUAGAAUGAGGUUAUGGGGUGGGCAUGUGCAGAGGUUAUGCGGAUGAGUUGAGGUUAUGGGGAUGGGGAUGAGAUAAGGUUAUGGGGAUGAGAUAAGGUUAUGGUGAUGGGGAAGUGCUGAGGCUAUGGGAAUGGAGAUGUGCUGAGGUUAUGCAGGUGGGGACAGGUUGAGGUUAUAGGGAUUAGUAUGUGCUGAGGUUAUGAGGAUGGUGAUCAACUGAGGUUUUAGGAUUGGGGAUGGGAUGAGGUUAUGAGGAUGGGGAUGCCCUGAGGUUAUGGGGACAGGGAUGCAUUGAGGUUAUAGGGAUGGAGAUGUGCUGAGGUUAUAGGAAUGAGGAUGGGAUGAGGUUACGGGGAUGUGUUAUGGGAAUGUGGAAGUGCUGAGGUUAUGGGGAUGGGGAUGGGAUGAGGAUAUAGGGAUGGUGAUGCCCUGAGGUUACGGGGAUGAGGAUGGGAUGAGGUUAUGGGUACAGGGAUGGGAUGAGGGUAUAGAGAUGAAGAUAGGAUGAGGUUAUGGGGAUGGGGAUGUGCUGAGGUUAUGGGGACAGGGAUGGGAUGAGGGUAUGGGGAUGGUCAUGUGCUGAGGUUAUGGGAAUGAGGAUGGGAUAAUGUUAUGGGGACAGGGAUAGGAUGAAGUUAUGGGGAUGGGGAUGUGCUGAGGUUAUGGGGAUGGGGAUAGGAUGAGGUUAUGGGGACAGGGAUAGGGUGAGGUUGUGGGGAUGGGGGACAUGCUGAGGUUAUGGGGAUGGGGAUGUGCUGAGAUUAUGGGGAUGGGGAUGUGCUGAGAUUAUGGGGAUGGGGAUGGGAUGAUAUGGGGACAGGGAUAGGAUGAGGUUAUGGGGAUGGGGAUGUGCUGAGGUUAUGGGGAUGCUGAUGAGGAACAAGAUCUCAACUGUUUCAUAACUACAGGAGAUGAAUCCUCAGAAACUGAAUUGCCCUACA
rnacentral:lncRNA from 10 species